rnacentral:tRNA from 1 species
GCCCCCUUGGCCUAAUGGUUAAGGCGCAAGACUUCUAUUAGUGCUUGGAAAAACCAGCGUCUGUUAGAGCGAAUCUUGAGAUUGCCAGUUCGAGUCUGGCAGGGGGCU